rnacentral:tRNA from 1 species
CAGAGAGUAGUUUACUUAAGAAUUCUAGCUUUGGGAGUUAGCGGUGGAAGUUAAAGUCUUUCCUUUCUGG